GACUUUUACCGAUGAUUAUUGUAGAUAUGGGUAUAUCUAUUUAAUCAAGCAAAAGUAAGAAACCUUUGAAAAGUUCAAAGAGUUCAAGAAUGAAGUGGAGAAUCAAUUGGGCAGGAAAAUCAAGAUGCUUCGAUCCGAUCGAGGAGGAGAGUACCUAAGUCUUGAAUUCCACGAUUAUCUCAAGGAGUGUGGAAUAGUUUCGCAAUUGACGCCUCCUAGGACACCGCAGUUGAAUGGUGUGGCAGAAAGGCGUAAUCGAACCUUAUUGGAUAUGGUUCGCUCUAUGAUGAGUCGUGCUUCACUACCUAUCUCUUUUUGGGGGUAUGCCUUAGAGACUGCCGCCCAUAUCCUUAACCGAGUCCCUACUAAGAAGGUUGCCAAAACACCUCACGAGAUGUGGACAGGGAAAGCUCCCUCGUUGGCACAUAUCAAGGUUUGGGGUUGCGAGGCUUUCGUAAGACGAGAUACUCACGACAAGCUUGAACCUCGAAGUGAGCGAUGUAUUUUCAUCGGCUACCCGCAGACAUCCUUUGGAUAUCUCUUCUAUAGACCGAAGGACAAUGUUGUCUUCGUUGCGAGGAGAGGAGUUUUCCGAGAGCGAGAACUCAUAAGCCAAGGAGACAGUGGGAGGCAAAUCGAGCUUGAAGAGAUUCAAGAGUCGAUAGAUGAAGGAACCUCUACCGCUGGCACUCAACCCGAGGAGGAAACUCCGGUUGAACCGAUUGACGAAUCCUUACCUCUUAGACGUUCCGAUAGAGUUAGAGUUCAUCCCCAGUUUUAUGGUUUUCAUAUUACUACCGAAGGGGACACGUAUAUUAGUGAUGGUACACUAAUAAACCUUGAUGAACCUAAUAGCUAUAAGGAAGCCAUGGCAGGCCCGGAGUCUGCAAAAUGGAAAGAGGCAAUGGAUAGCGAGAUCCAAUCCAUGUAUGAUAACCAAGUUUGGAAUUUGGUUGAUUAUGUGCCCGGACGUAAGACCGUUGGGUGCAAAUGGAUCUUCAAGAAGAAGACCGACGUGGAUGGAAACAUGCACACAUAUAAAGCGCGAUUGGUUGCGAAGGGCUUUACUCAAACUCCCGGAGUUGACUAUGAUGAGACCUUCUCACCAGUUGCGAAGAUUAAAUCGAUUAGAGUGAUGCUAGGAAUUGCCGCAUUUCAUGAUUAUGAAUUUGCCAAAUGGAUGUCAAGACCGCUUUCCUUAAGGGAAUGUUGGCUGAGGAUGUUUACAUGGCUCAGCCAGAGGGAUUUGUGGAUCCGAAGCAUCCGAAUAGAGUGUGUAAGCUUGAGAAGUCCAUUUAUGGACUUAAGCAAGCGUCUCGCAGAUGGAAUCUUUGCUUCGAUGAGAAAGUCAAAGAGUUUGGAUUUGUACGAAGCGAAGACGAAUCUUGUGUAUAUGUCAAAGCCAGUGGGAGUAUAGUAAGCUUCCUCGUUCUAUAUGUCGAUGACAUAUUACUCAUAGGAAACGACAUCCCGACUCUGCAGGAGGUUAAGUCCUGGCUCGGGAAGUGCUUCGCUAUGAAGGACCUCGGAGAAGCUUCUUACAUUUUGGGAAUAAGGAUAGUAAGAGAAAGAAGUAAGAGACUAAUUGGACUUAGUCAGAAUACUUACUUAGAGAAGGUACUAAAACGUUUUAGUAUGGAAAACUCAAAGAAGGGAGAACUACCGAUACAAAGUAAUGCCAAAUUGAGUAAGACUCAAAGUCCGAGUACCGAAGCUGAGAUAGCAGAAAUGAGCCGAGUACCAUACGCUUCCGCAGUUGGCUCAAUCAUGUACGCUAUGACUUGUACUCGCCCUGAUGUAGCCUUCGCUUUGAGCAUGGUUAGCAGAUAUCAAGGGAAUCCUGGCAAAGCACAUUGGAUUGCGGUGAAGAACAUCCUUAAGUACCUUCGGAGGACGAAGGAAUGGUUCUUAGUCCUCGGAGGGAGUGAUGACUUGAAGGUGCGAGGGUAUAGUGACGCCAGUUUUCAGACCGACAUGGACAACUACCGUUCGCAGUCGGGCUUGGUCAUUACCCUAAAUGGAGGAGCAGUGACAUGGAAGAGUUCCAAGCAGGAAACCGUAGUUGAUUCAACGUGCGAAUCAGAGUACAUUGCAGCGAGCGAAGCGUCGAAGGAGGCAAUAUGGCUAAAGAACUUCAUCGGUGAUCUUGGAGUUGUACCUGCCAUAAAGGAGCCCAUGGAGAUUUUCUGUGAUAACGAAGGAGCGGUUGCCUUGACCAAGGAACCGAGGGAUCAUGGUAGAUCAAGACAUAUCGACAGAAAAUAUCACUUCAUUAGACAUCGUGUAGAAGAAGGACAACUCGUAGUGAAGAGGAUAUCAUCAGAAGAUAACCCAGCAGAUCCGCUUACGAAGGGACUGAGUAGGGUUAAGCACUUGCAGCAUGCUAGGAGUAUUGGGCUGAAGGAUGAUAUUAGAAGAUUAGAUUGUAUUAGAAACAUGAAAUAGGUAAAUGUAAUUAACAUGUGAUGAUUAAAUAAAGGAGUUUUAUUUAUGAGUAAUGUUACUGUCUUAUGUUAAUUGUUUAGCUAUUGUUUCACUUUGCAUGUUUUGACUUCCAGAAUAAUUGAGUUUAUGAGGAAUAAUCGAAUUGUUCAAAUUGACCACAGUCGUUCAUAUGUUGGAACUGGAUAUGAAUGAAGAUUGUCAUGAAUUGGUGUGUAGAAUGUCUAAAUGGUGUUAGACAUAGCAAAGGGUUGCUGCAACGUUCAUGAGUGCUUAUGAACUAGUUUUGAGCAUUGGAAUAAACCCGCGCUUGCUGGAAUCACCUUAUGGAAUACGAUAUAAAAGGUGAUCGCAAGACGAUAAUAUCAUAUAGUCUUAAAACCUAGAUAUAUGGUUUGUUAUUUGUUAAUUGAUUGUACAUUGAUAAUGCGAAAACGCAUCAGUAACUCGGUGUUAUAAAACGUAUUGUUGUGUAUAGUUGGUUAAUGAAUAAGUAAAUGCAUAUAAGUCGAAGUUUAUCUGUAACUUUUAUCUAAGAAGGUAAAAGCGAUAUCUCGGCCGCUCGAUGAUUUGAUUUGACUUAUGUGCCGGGCCCGGUCAGAACUGAAUUGAUGUGUUCGAUUAAGUUCUAUGUCAAAUAAAUCAGAGAUCGAGAAACCUAAAUGCUUGACUAACCAUUCCAUAGGAUUGUCAGCAUGAUAUCUAACAGAGGACUGUACGAUCCCUUAUCUAAAGGACAAGAUUGAUUAGAUCAGAGUUUGACAGCGUCUUUGAGAGCUACGAUUGCAAACCGAAUUGUACUUGUGUAUAUAGUUACUAGACUUAUCCAAGUGGGAGACUGUUGGAAUAGUGUCUAAGGCUGCAACUAUAUUAGGCAAGUAUUUGACCCGGUUGUGCAUGGUCCUUUUAGGUUGCCUUCACCAUAGCAACUUGAUAGGAUGAUUUAUUAAGAGAGUGUAAAUAUUAUUUAUAUAUUAUGGGAAUAAUAUAAAGAAUAAUAUAUUGUUACUUGAUUAAUAUAGGUCAUAGAAUAAAUUAGAAUUAAUUUGGUGACUUAAAGAGAUUAAUUAAAUAAAGGGGUAUAAACUGUCAAUUGUUUGAUAGUUAAGCUUUAGAUUGUAAAUCCUUGUAGAUAUACAAGGGACGAAUUCUAGAAGCUAAAAGGAUAGCUAAUUCGUCCAAGGCUUAUCUAUGGAAAGGAUUUGGAUAGCCUUAAGAGAAGAUUAUCCAAUUAGGGUUUAGGUUGUAACCCUUAAGGAGUCUACAAGUAUAAAUAGACCCCAUGGCUAAGGGAAAUCGGCACCUCUCAAAAAGCAAGAGAACCCUGGCCGAUUUCCUCCCUUCUCCUCUCUCCUAAAUCAUCCUCUUUGCUAUUGGUGUUUGUAAGCUAUUAGAGGAGUGACAUUUGUGACUCUAGAAGCUCCAAGACCUCAAGAUCAACAAGGAACUCAAAGGUAUGGUUCUAGAUCUAUUUCAAUGUUGUUAUUUAACCUUAUUAGUCAUUAGAAGUCUUGGAUUCAAAGCAUGUUUAUUAGAAAGCCUAGAUCCAAGCAUUAGGGUUUUGCAUGCGCACAUAGGAAAGUUCUUAUGGCUAAAACCCAUCAGAAAUCUCUAUAGUCAAAGUCUUUUAAGCUGAUCAAAUAUGAUCAGUGAACUAAGCUGAUCAACUUCAAAAGUGUACCAAUAACUUAUGAACUGAACGUCCCAAAAUCAACUCACACUUCGACUUCAAAAGUCUGAAAAAUCUCAGGUUCUCGAAUAAUAAUAUACCUAAAAUUCUUCAAAAGAAUAACCUGCUAAAAAUAUGAAACAUCCUGUGGUAGAAUUGGAAUAACAAACAAGUCUGCAUCUAGGAAUAGAAGUUGUAGUGAUCCGUUGGCACGGUUCAGACUUCAAGCAUCAAUCAGAACUAUCAUCACGAUGUUGGUUUGACUAGACAAGUAGAUGAUAAGCCAAUAUCAAUUAGCAAGACAACUACUAAAUGAUAUUCUCCUAGAUAUCUUCAAAAUCCACACUCUAAAAAACAUAACCAAUAAUCUGGAUGCUCAUAAUAUUAUCUGCUUAUUUUUGAUAGCUAAUGACCAAAUAUCAAAAAUAAAUAAAUGAAUCUGGAUGGAGAGUGUCGGAUACCAAGAGUUUUACAUGCUCUCCUUAGAUGUAUGAAAGGUAUCGAUAAUACACGAUUAUGAGAGUAAAAUAAAUACUCUCCCUCAUAAGUAGAUGGUUGCUUCUGUGAUGUGUGUUAUUGAUUGAUUAAGAACAAGAUUGAGACAAUAUAAGCAGUAAAUGGACACAAGAUCUGUCACACCGGAACGGCGGAAACGUUUUGGGGUGGAUGACGUCAAGUCAAGUAUCACAACAUAUACAGUAGAGUAAUCAAAGUACAACAACCAUUGCAUUAAUAGUAAUAGUUUUACACGGUAUACAUUACAAGGAAACAUCAAAGCAUUACAAGUAAUAAUAUAAGAGCAACUUGGUACACAACUGUCUUCAUCAAAAAGCUCCAGGAAUGUACCUGUCUAAUGCUGACCUGAGAAUACAAGUUAUUUGAAAAGCGAGUAUCAACAUUUUUACAAAUGCUGGUGAGUUCAUAAGUAUUUAGUGUCAUUUUAUUCAAAUAACUUUAUAUAAGUAGUAGUUUUAGAUUAUCCAUUUAAUUAGAGUCCUUUCAAGAAAAUCCUAUAUUUUAUUUAUUAAAAGCACUCUUCUACCAAGACUGGAUGGAGUUAUGUGGUAAAAAGUAGUUUUCCCUUAAACACUAUCGUUAUCAAAAUACGGUGUUUGACUUUAAAGAAAGUAGAAGAAUAUCAGGGACAACAACAUAUGCCUCAGCAGUGAGGACUGCUGACUAAGGAAAAAAGGAAUCAUAGACUCCAGGAGAUCAUCAAAAUGCACGAUACACCUGGCUCAGUCUAACAAAAGGCGUCGCAGACCCCAGACUAUAUCAAAUUAAAGAUACAACAUGCAAGGUCUAACACAGUGGAGACAGACCCUAGACAGUAUUAAAUGAAAGAUACAACUAGUAAGGUCCAAUACAGUAGAGACAGACCCUGGUAGUAUCAAAUGAAAGAUAUAGCUAGUAAGUUCCAAUAGAGUAAACACAGUGAAUACAGUGAGUACUGUGUAAAAAGUCGUUACCUUAAAGCCAUGAAUUAUAAGGUAACCUCGAGAUACUCGUAACCAUACUGAUAGACACUAGAGAAUCUUGACGCCCUGCAAGCGUCGGUAUAAAUGUGAUAUUUUUCACCCCUUGGCUUGGUAGGUCGUGGACUGUAGCUAGCAGUCAGGGUGUGGGGGUCUCAAUCCCAUAUAGAUCUAUACAUACAAUUUCCGCUCUCCCUACAAGAGACUCUGGUUACCAACUUGACAACGGAGAAGGUCGUGUACUGAAGAUGUAUCUCAUGUAGUGAGAUCUGAUGUAAAAUACUGGAAUAACGAUAGAGACUCACAACUAAAUUGACUAGUGUAAAUCUAUAUGUCUAUGCUUGUAUACAUAAUAGAUAACUAAUGAUCAAACGACCUUCGGACGAACAUCCGAUCCCACCAGACCACAUCUCAACGAAGAAAAGGAAAUAGGGCGAACAAGCCUUCCUAAGUCCUUCAAACAUUAUUUAUAUGCAUCUAUACAAGCACAGGCAUACAUCUAACUAUGUUUAAGUGUCUAACGAAGUAGAGUGUGUUACAAGGUAUAAGCAUAUCAUGAAAUGGAGGCGUUAUCAAAUAUAAGCAUAUCACGAAGUGGAGGCAUUAUCAAAUAUAAGCAUAUCACAAAGUGGAGGCGUUAUCAAGUAUAAGUGUAUCACGAAGUGGAGGCGUUAUCAAGUAUAAGUGUCUCACGAAGUGGAGGCGUUAUCAAAUAUAAGCGUAUCACGAAUUGGAGGUAUUAACUAAACCGAAGUGGAGCAGUGGUAUUUUAACCAAGUAGGAGUAUAAAAACAUGGAAGAAAACUUUGAUGAAAACUUUGAUAAACCUUUAUACUUAAGAAAAUCACAACUUGGUAUUCUUUUGUAAAAUAAGUUUGAAAAACCUUUAGAAAUCCUUUGGGAAACUUUUAUAAACAAGUUUUAAAUGAAACAUUGAUAAAACAAUAUAAGUAAAAGUUCAACAAAUAACGACGUUUUAGAAAAACCAUUUACAGUGCCAUUCUCGGUAAAACAGUUAACAAUAUGGUAAAUCCUUGUGCAUGCAGGUUAUCAAUCACACGUGAUUGAUAUGAUAACUGGCAUGUUUAACUUGUAUUCCCCCCCUAUAAUGCAUUUAAAAACAUUUAAAAGGUUCAUUCAGGGGUAUGAACUCACCUGAUGUAAGUGGAUCCAACGGAUGUGCCGGUUGGGUGCUCGGUGUCAAGUAAAGACUUGAACACACUUAGUGACCUAUUAACAUAUGAUAACAUAUGUUUACAUACAAUUAGUACAUAUAAUACCAAUUAAACAAGUAUGCGCAUCCUAAAGCACGGAAAACACUUUGAUUAAGUGUUUGGGGUGUCUCGGGUAACAUCUAAGGGUGUGUAUGGUCUCACUUUGGAGUUUACUCCUCAAAUAAAGGCCCUUAUGGGUGUUUACGGAUUCAAGACCCUUUCCCCCAUGAUUUUAUGGCUGUAAACUCAUGGUAGUAGUGUCAUGGGAUGCUUAAAGGUCUUAACUCACUCAUGGAGUCAUGCUAGAGUUGAAUCAAGGGCUAAGGAAGUGAUUGGGGCUCAAAAUGGGCACAAAGUGGAGUUUACGGUCCAAUGUUUACUCCUUGAGUAGUUUACGGCCGUAAACACAUGAUUUUACGGUCGUAAACUCAUGUUGGCCCAUUCCUUUAGUUGUUUGGUGGUUCUAACUCAUGUAUGCAAGGUUCUAGUGGCUUUUAGAGGCAUAGGAAGGUGUUUAGGGCACUUAAACACCUUGGAAGGGUGUUUACGGUCUAAGGAGAUACACUUAGGGAGUUUACUACCUUAAACACAUGAGUUUACGGUAGUAAACUCAUGUUAGUCCCUAGUGUUGGAAUAUUGUCUAAGGCUGCAAUUAUAUUAGGCAAGUAUUUGACCCGGUUGUGCAUGGUCCUUUUGGGUUGCCUUCACCAUAGCAACUUGACAGGAUGAUUUAUUAUGAGAGAAUAGAUAUUAUUAAUAUAUUAUGAGAAUAAUAUAAGGAAUAAUAAUAUUACUAUUUGAUUAAUAUAAGUCAUAAAUUAAUUAGUAUUAAUUUGGUGACUUAAAGUGAUUAACUAAAUAAGAGGGUAUAAACUGUCAAUUGUUUGAUAGUUACACUUUAGACUGUAAAUCCUUAAUGGAUAGAGGAUGGACGAAUUCUAGAAGCUAAGGAUAGCUCAAAAUCGUCCAAGGCUUAUCUAUGGUAAGGAUAUGGAUUGCUUUUAGGAAAGAUUAUCGAACUAGGGUUUAAGGUGAAACCGUUAAGGAGUCUACAAGUAUAAAUAUACCCUAUGGGCAAGGCAAAUCGGAUCUCUUCAAAAGAAAAGAAACCCUGGCCAAUUUCCUCCUCUCUCCUCUCUCUCAAAUCAUCCUCCUUGCUAGUUGGUGUUUGUAAGCCAUUAGAGGAGUGACAAUUGUGACUCUAGAGCUUCAAGACAACAAGAUCAAACAAGAGAUUCAAGGGUAAGCUUCUAGAUCUGACUUUGUAUUGUUUUUAUACCUAAUUAGUCAUUAGAAGUCUUGGAUUGAAAGCAUGUUUAAUUAGAGAAACCUAGAUCUAAGCAUUAGGGUUUGACAUGCGCACAUAGGAAAGUUCUUAUGGCUAAAACCCCUCAGUGGUAUCAGAGCCUGGUUUGGUUUCUAUUAAAUUGUUGCUUGCUUAUUUGAUUCUUAACUGCAAAAUUCGAUUUUCAUGUUUUUGAGUCAUGAACUCGGCGAGUCCCAUAGUGGACUCGGCGAGUAGACCUGACUCGGCGAGUCCAGAAUGGAUACUCGACGAGUCUGAGCGUCAGGAAGGGCCAGAUUCCGGAUUUUUUCAUAUUUAUCUUAUGGAAACUUACCUUAAUCAUAUUAGAUCAACCCUAAUCCGUUUUUUUUGAUAUAUAUGACUAUAAUCUUGAUCUAAUUAAAGAUAUUUAUCAACUAAUAAAAUAUUGAGUUUCCUUAUGUGAUAAUUAAUUAAUUAUUUUAAUUAUAUUGGUAAUUAUCUUACAAGAAAUCUUAAAUAAAUCAAAUAUGGAUAAUUAUGGAAUUAAUUGUUAAAUAAAAUAUUAGAUCAACCCUAAUCCGUUUUUUUUGAUAUAUAUGACUAUAAUCUUGAUCUAAUUAAAGAUAUUUAUCAACUAAUAAAAUAUUGAGUUUCCUUAUGUGAUAAUUAAUUAAUUAUUUUAAUUAUAUUGGUAAUUAUCUUACAAGAAAUCUUAAAUAAAUCAAAUAUGGAUAAUUAUGGAAUUAAUUGUUAAAUAAAAUUAUUUGUUGUUUGAUCCUCUAUGUUUUAAAUGUUUAAAACUUGUCCUCAAGUUUUGAAAUUUAUGUUUUGUGAUUAAAAGUUUUAAUUUAGACAAUUUAAAUUUCAAACCCUAGAUUUUNNNNNNNNNNNNNNNNNNNNNNNNNNNNNNNNNNNNNNNNNNNNNNNNNNNNNNNNNNNUUUUAAUUUAGACAACUUAAAUUUCAAACCCUAGAUUUUAAAAGUUUUAAAAUACAACCCUAUACUAAUAUGAUAUUACUAGAAUAAUAUAUAUAUGUAUAACUAAAUGCUAGUCUUACCGUUAGUAGGCCUCAUUCACGAAGCCGAUCUAUAAGGUGGGUAUAAGGUUGCGGUCUAUAAAAUGGCGCUUAAUGGGUGUACACUCACACCCACCGCUUGCUUGAUUGGUGGAGGGUCGUUAGCUGAACGGGUAGGAUAGGGCAAAUUCAUCCUCUCAUUAAAAGUAUAAUAAGAAAUAUAAAGUAACUACAUUUUUUUAAAUUUCCCAAUCUUAGUUACUUUAGGAAAGGUGAAUUGAUGCAAUCCCAUGAAAUUACACUUUGCACCUUGCUAAGAAGUUAGUGGAGCGUGUGUGGUUUACCGGCACACUAAUUGGUUCUAAGCGCAGGUGGCAAAGGGUGAUUCAUUGUUUAUCAUAGUUCGAUGGAGCGCGUGUGGUUUACUGGCACAUUGAAUAGGUGAUCGUUACAAUGAAGGCACCAUGUGAAUUUGCAUGGUAAUUCACACUUGCUUUGUGAUCCUCGGUAUCCCAGUCACAAACAAGAGGGGCAUAUCGAGAAUUAAACAUGCCAUUGAAUAGUUUAAAUGAACCUCAUCCAAACCUAGGAAUUCUCAAUACAUUUAGGACUUAAAGUUAUGUUUUUAUGGUGGAGAAUUAGUGAAUCGUCAUUCACUUACCUUCAUUUUAUUUGCAUGUUGGAUUAUGGCAUCCCUUUUCCUAAUAUGUAAAUAUUGUUGUUGGAUCCUAGCCCUAAUUUUCUUAUUGGGUGAUAAUUAAGGAUUCACAUUCUAAUCUAUCUUUGUCCUUUCUAGAUGUCGAACGCAAACAACACUGCUGCUAGUUCUUUCACAUUGAUGAGCCUUUGUCAAAAGGUCACUUUCAAUGGGACGAACUUUAGCGAAUGGAUAAGAUACAUUCGCACGAUUGCUCGCUAUGAGGAUAAGGAGUAUGUCCUCGUUGAGAAGCUCGAGAAAAUCAAUCCAGAAAUCGCUACUCUGGCUGAAAUGACCACUUUUGAAACUCAUGAGCAUGAUGCAACGAAGGUACAUUGCAUCAUGAUAGCCACUAUGAACUCCAAAUUCCAAAAGUCCUAUGAGGACAUGUACCCGUACGAGAUGCAUCAAGACUUAUUGGAGAAAUACCAUCAAAACGCGAGACAAGAGCGUUAUGACAUUUUCACUAACAUGAUUUCCGCUAAGAUGGGUCAUGGAGAGUCUUUUACCGUGCACCUGCAAAAGAUGCAAAGGUAUGUCGACUCUCUUCGCAAGUUGAAUGCUGACUUUGGGGAAGACUUGGCAAUCGACAUGGUGCUUCACUCUUUGCCUCCGAGCUACAAUCAAUUUAGGGUGACCUACCACAUGAACAAAGAGGAGGUCACCCUAAGCAAACUCCAAGGACUCUUGAGGGUCGCUGAAAGCAACUUCAAGGACAAGUCUGUUGCACCAACUCCCAAUCCGCCAGCUGCUCCUGUCUUGGCCAUUGGACAAGGAAAGGGAAAGAAGAGGAAGGCCUCGUCUACGAACUAUCGCAAGGUUAAAACCCAAGAUGGUGCUCUUCUAGUGGGACCAAAGUUGAUCCUGCUAAACCUUGCCCUAACCCAAAGGAGGCAGAGUGCCACCACUGCCACAAGAUAGGACAUCAAGGAAGGAAAGUUCAAGCCGUCUUUCGCAGGUAUAUAAACAAUUAAAUCUAAUGAUUCAUCUCACAAUCUUUCUUGGGUUCUUGAUACCAGUUGUGGUUACCACAUUUGUUUUAAUGUGCAGGGACUAAGAAGAAAUAGAGACGUGGAGCAUGGAAGGAUAAUUUUAAUCAUGGGGAACAGAAGAUCGUUACCUGUGAACAGAAGAUCAUUUCAUUUCAUGGUUUGUUUAGACAAGGUUUUAGAUUUUCUUUUAAUAAUGAGAAUGGUUCUAUUUUGAAGCUAUACCAUGUAAUGGAAUUUAUGAAACUGUUAUGAUUGUUGAUAACUUAGGAAAUGAUGUUUUAAACAUAGAUUCUUCCAAUAGUAUGGAUAAAGCAUCCUUGUGGCAUUGUCGCCUUGCACAUGUCAACAAGAAAUGCAUAGCCCAACUCCAAAAGGAUGGAGUGUUGGAGUCAUUCGACCUUAGGGAAGAUGACACAUGCAAAUCUUGUUUGCUUGGAAAUAUGACUAAGUCACCCUUCGCUGGUUCUUGCUAAAGGGGUGAGGGUCUAUUGGACCUAAUACAUACCGAUGUAUGUGGACCGUUUAGAUCAACCACUCAGGAUGGGAACCGCUUCUACAUGACUUUUACCAAUGACUAUAGUAGAUAUGGGUAUAUCUAUUUAAUCAAGCAAAAGUCAGAAACUUUUGAAAAGUUCAAAGAGUUCAAGAAUGAAGUGGAGAAUCAAUUGGGCAGGAAAAUCAAGAUGCUUCAAUCCGAUCGAGGAGGAGAGUACCUAAGUCUUGAAUUCCACGAUUAUCUCAAGGAGUGUGGAAUAGUUUCACAAUUAACGCCACCUAGGACACCACAAUUGAAUGGUGUGGCAGAAAGGCAUAAUCGAACCUUGUUGGACAUGGUUCGCUCUAUGAUGAGUCAUGCUUCACUACCUAUCUCUUUUUGGGGGUAUGCCUUAGAGACUGCCGCCCAUAUCCUUAACCGAGUCCCUACUAAGAAGGUUGCCAAAACACCUCACGAGAUGUGGACAGGGAAAGCUCCCUCGUUAGCACAUAUCAAGGUUUGG
rnacentral:lncRNA from 1 species